AAUAGAUACCCUGGUAGUCCACGCCGUAAACGAUGAGUGCUAAGUGUUAGAGGGUUUCCGCCCUUUAGUGCUGAAGUUAACGCAUUAAGCACUCCGCCUGGGGAGUACGGCCGCAAGGCUGAAACUCAAAGGAAUUGACGGGGGCCCGCACAAGCGGUGGAGCAUGUGGUUUAAUUCGAAGCAACGCGAAGAACCUUACCAGGUCUUGACAUCCUCUGACAACCCUAGAGAUAGGGCUUCUCCUUCGGGAGCAGAGUGACAGGUGGUGCAUGGUUGUCGUCAGCUCGUGUCGUGAGAUGUUGGGUUAAGUCCCGCAACGAGCGCAACCCUUGAUCUUAGUUGCCAUCAUUCAGUUGGGCACUCUAAGGUGACUGCCGGUGACAAACCGGAGGAAGGUGGGGAUGACGUCAAAUCAUCAUGCCCCCUAUGACCUGGGCUACACACGUGCUACAAUGGACGGUACAAAGAGCUGCAAGACCGCGAGGUGGAGCUAAUCUCAUAAAACCGUUCUCAGUUCGGA
rnacentral:rRNA from 1 species